rnacentral:lncRNA from 1 species
UUUUUUUUUUUUUACUACAUUUUGCUAUCAUCUAUGCUCUUGAGUUUUUUUAAAUAUUUAUUGUAUCUGUUUGGUGGAAACAUUAUCUCAUGGUGGGCUACUGUGCUUCUUUUUCUGAUUCUGUAAAUCAGUGACAUCGGAUUGAUAGCUUGAAAUCAGCCACAAGGAGAGUAAUUUACACACUGUAAACAGGCAAGUGCUACCAGCCCAGUGAGUGAAUGAAUGAAAGAUGUCAGGGACAUCUCUCAGCCACUCGUGAUUACAAAGUAGCUGCUGUGGCUCCAGCCAUCAUGCCCACAUUCCACAUGGGAGGAAGAGGUAAGAAGACUGGGGAAAGGGGCAGCACCAGACCUGACUGCCCCUUUCCUGAGGCAAUUGAAAACUUCCCCAGAAUUCCCCAACUGUCUAGGUCUCAUUGCUCAGAACCACGUCCUACGACCAUAUAUACCUGCAAGGGAGGCUGGGAAGGCAAGUGUUUGGAUUUCCCAGCCUUUAGUGGAAAGGAGGAGAACAAGGGAGAAGCACUUGGGGAUGUCUUCUGUGUCUUUCCACCAGUAGCAUCUGCCCCAUUUGAUUACUGAAUUUUUUUCUCCAGGGAAGAGGAUCUUUACCGUUAAGCAUUUAUUUUCUUCCUUUCUUCCUUCCUUCCCUCCUUCCUUUUACUUAAAAAAGACCCCAAAAAACAAAAACCCUAAAGUAGAGCGUUAAGCAUUUCUUCGUGAGCCUCAGGGUCGCUUUGGGAAGGCGAGAUGGGGUCAGUACUGAAGGGCCACCAGCUUGGGGAACAACCAGGACGAGCCAUUGCUGCAGAAAGACGAGGUUGCCUGUAAAUUACAAAUUCCAUGCAGCUUCGUACAUCAAGAACAGCCAGGGGCAGUGGUUUGCCUCCUUUGGGGAGAGAGCAAAGGAAGAAAAUGAUGAAUAUUAUGACAACAGCCCCAUCGCCCUCUUCAAGCUGGGCAGCAGUGACAGGCUUGCCUGCUGAAGGAUGUGGGCGUCCCUGGGAAAAGGUGCUUGCACACAUUUUUGAAACAUGCGUUUUGAGAUAAUGUUUCUUUGUGACACCCUCAUGUUGCCCAUCUCUACAGCUGUUAUCUCAGACGGCUGCUCAGCUGCUCACCGCGGGGCCGGGAGGUGUUCAACCACUUGGAAGGCCCGGGGCCAUCUCUUUGGGGCUGACAUCCCUAACUCAGAACAAAUUGGGAUUUCUUUCUCUCCCUCACCCCCCAGCCUCUGC